UAGAGUUUGAUCAUGGCUCAGGAUGAACGCUAGCGACAGGCUUAACACAUGCAAGUCGAGGGGCAGCGGGGAGGUAGCAAUACUUCCGCCGGCGACCGGCGCACGGGUGAGUAGCACGUAUGGAACCUGCCCGUAGCAGGGGGAUAAGCGGAAGAAAUUCCGUCUAAUACCGCGUAAUAACUCCGAGAGGCAUCUCAUGGGGUUUAAAGGGUGACACCGGCUACGGAUGGCCAUGCGGCGCAUUAGCUAGUUGGCGGGGUAACGGCCCACCAAGGCGACGAUGCGUAGGGGUUCUGAGAGGAAGGUCCCCCACACUGGUACUGAGACACGGACCAGACUCCUACGGGAGGCAGCAGUGAGGAAUAUUGGUCAAUGGGCGCGAGCCUGAACCAGCCAAGUCGCGUGAGGGAAGACGGUCCUAUGGAUUGUAAACCUCUUUUGUCGGGGAGCAAAAGACGCCACGUGUGGCGUUCCGAGAGUACCCGAAGAAAAAGCAUCGGCUAACUCCGUGCCAGCAGCCGCGGUAAUACGGAGGAUGCGAGCGUUAUCCGGAUUUAUUGGGUUUAAAGGGUGCGCAGGCGGAAGAUCAAGUCAGCGGUAAAAUUGAGAGGCUCAACCUCUUCGAGCCGUUGAAACUGGUUUUCUUGAGUGAGCGAGAAGUAUGCGGAAUGCGUGGUGUAGCGGUGAAAUGCAUAGAUAUCACGCAGAACUCCGAUUGCGAAGGCAGCAUACCGGCGCUCAACUGACGCUCAUGCACGAAAGUGUGGGUAUCGAACAGGAUUAGAUACCCUGGUAGUCCACGCAGUAAACGAUGAAUACUAA
rnacentral:rRNA from 1 species